rnacentral:rRNA from 1 species
GACGAGUCACUACGGUGAUGAAGUAGCUCAUGCCCCGCUUCCAGGAAAAGCCUCUAAGCUCUAGAUUAUCAUUAAUCGUACCCCAAACCGACACAGGUGGUCAGGUAGAGAAUACUCAGGCGCUUGAGAGAACUCGGGUGAAGGAACUAGGCAAAAUGGUGCCGUAACUUCGGGAGAAGGCACGCUGGCAUUAGGUGAAGUGAUUUACUCAUGGAGCUGAAGCCAGUCGCAGAUACCAGCUGGCUGCAACUGUUUAUUAAAAACACAGCACUGUGCAAACACGAAAGUGGACGUAUACGGUGUGACGCCUGCCCGGUGCUGGAAGGUUAAUUGAUGGGGUUAUCCGUAAGGAGAAGCUCUUGAUCGAAGCCCCAGUAAACGGCGGCCGUAACUAUAACGGUCCUAAGGUAGCGAAAUUCCUUGUCGGGUAAGUUCCGACCUGCACGAAUGGCGUAAUGAUGGCCAGGCUGUCUCCACCCGAGACUCAGUGAAAUUGAACUCGCUGUGAAGAUGCAGUGUACCCGCGGCAAGACGGAAAGACCCCGUGAACCUUUACUAUAGCUUGACACUGAACAUUGAGCCUUGAUGUGUAGGAUAGGUGGGAGGCUUUGAAGUGUGGACGCCAGUCUGCAUGGAGCCAACCUUGAAAUACCACCCUUUAAUGUUUGAUGUUCUAACGUAGCCCCGUUAUCCGGGGUGCGGACAGUGUCUGGUGGGUAGUUUGACUGGGGCGGUCUCCUCCCAAAGAGUAACGGAGGAGCACGAAGGUUGGCUAAGCAUGGUCGGACAUCAUGCGGUUAGUGCAAAGGCAUAAGCCAGCUUGACUGCGAGAGUGACGGCUCGAGCAGGUACGAAAGUAGGUCUUAGUGAUCCGGUGGUUCUGAAUGGAAGGGCCAUCGCUCAACGGAUAAAAGGUACUCCGGGGAUAACAGGCUGAUACCGCCCAAGAGUUCAUAUCGACGGCGGUGUUUGGCACCUCGAUGUCGGCUCAUCACAUCCUGGGGCUGAAGUAGGUCCCAAGGGUACGGCUGUUCGCCGUUUAAAGUGGUACGCGAGCUGGGUUUAGAACGUCGUGAGACAGUUCGGUCCCUAUCUGCCGUGGGCGUUGGAAGAUUGAAAGGGGCUGCUCCUAGUACGAGAGGACCGGAGUGGACGCACCACUGGUGUUCGGGUUGUCAUGCCAAUGGCAUUGCCCGGUAGCUAAGUGCGGAAGAGAUAACCGCUGAAAGCAUCUAAGCGGGAAACUUGCCUUGAGAUGAGUCUUCCCUGAC